rnacentral:lncRNA from 10 species
GUGCUGGGGGGCUGCAUGGCCGACUUCAGGGGGCAGGAAAAUGAUGCUUUGUCUUUGGAGAGGGAGGAUGUGGGACAAGCUGCCAGGAAAGCGGCGCUUCUGAUCAGAAAAACAACACAAGGAUCUCAGAGGCAGGACAGAGUGGGAUCCGAGGGACCGCGUGGUGUUUCUGGCCCCCUUCCCUCUCGAUGGCUGAUUAUUCAGAGUGUUCACACCCAGCAAAGGAGCAGGCUGCUCGUUCCCGACUGCAGCACGGCGUGCCGGGCCGCGGUGUUCUUUCUGGAUCACUGGUUUCCUCAGCAGCAGCGCUAACAGCCGCCCGGCAUGUCGGGCUCAAUGCAUCAGGUCUAAUCAGAUGUGGCAGCUGCUGAAACCCAAAUGCCUCCAUCCAACCAAAGCAUCUCAAUGCUGCCAGUGGUCUCUGGCUGAGCCGCCUCCAAUUCAAAUGCACGUGACAGGGUCCCUGGCUGCAACCCAGGUUGGAGAAUCCGGGAUUAGAAGGCUGAGGACUUCGGACAACCAAACCCAGCUGUCCCUGAUGAAGUUGCCUGGGCACACCAGAGUGUGGGAGAGUGGACGGCGCGGCCCCUCCUGCACUUGGAGCUGCUCUCAGAUCUUGGGCUGUGACCCCUGUGGGUGACACGAAGUUCAGUGAUUGUCCUCCUUCUGGACUGAGGGACAUCCAUCCACACGCGCCCCCUCCACAGCCCGAUCCCAUCACGUCCUGCUCGUCCAACAUGGGCCUUAGAUCCUGGGGUCUCUGCUGAGUGCCUCCCCUCUGAACGCCCGGCUGGCACUUUCACGGUGAAGCCAGCUGUCAUGGACACCGACGGCAGGUGGCCUUUCUGCGUUGUCUACCGGCUGAUCUUGAAAGUGAAAACGGACAUUGUCUGCCCUGUGGUGACCGUGUUGGGUGAUGGUCCUGGGGUCAGGCCCUGCAUGCACCUUCACCCAGGGAUGGCUUCUUAGCUGACAGCGGCUCUGCCAGGAACCACGAUCACCCUCCAGUUUGCUCUUUGUGCUGAAUUUUAUUGACAUGAAAUUCGCAUGACGCCAACUUUAUCGUUUUAAAGUGAAUGGUUAAACAGAAUGCGGCACUUUCACAGGGCGGCAUGACCCCCACCUCUGUCUGCCUUCAGAACAUUUUCAUCCCCCACGAAAGGAGGAAGCGCAGUCCCCAGGAACAGUUACUCCUCAUUUCCCCUCCCCAGCUCUGGCUUCCGCAACCACGAAUCUGCUUUCUGUCUCCGUGAAUUUGCCUCUUUCGGAUAUAUUUCACGUAAAUGGAGUCCCGUGAUAGAUGAGCUGUGUCUGCCUCUUGCGGGCAGCACAGUGUCUGGAAGGUUCUCCGUGCAGCCGCAGGGGUUGGCGCUUCCUUCCUCCCGAGGCUGACCCGGCCCCGUCGUACGGGGAGUCCACUGUGUGUCUGUCUUUUGGCUGCUGUGAGCCUGGGUGUGCCGCCUGCUCCAGCCCAUGUUUUCAGCUCUUUCAGGUGUGGAGGGAGGAGUGGAAUUGUGGGAUCAUAUUGUAACUUUAACUUUGGAAGGAUCUGCCAAAUUACCCCUCUAAUUUGUUUUCAAUUUUAUUCUUAUUUCCCUGUCACUUGUUCUUUCUUUUGACUGGUUAAAAAAAAUGGCAAAGGUCUUCAGCAAAACAAGAAGUGAGUUUCAAUUGAACCGUGAAUUAAAUAUGAUACACUCAAAAUCUGACCAAUAAUACAUUUUAAUUUUCCCCACACAUUUACGUCCACGUUAAUUUCAUGGAAAUCAAGAUGCUUUUGCCUCUGUUCUAAAGUAUUUAUUUUUUUUAAGACAGGUUCUUACUCUGUUGCCCAGGCUGGAGUGCAAUGGCGCGAUCUCAGCUCACUGCAGUCUUGACCUCCCAGGCUCAAGCAAUCCUCCUGCCUCAGCCUCCUGAGUAGCUGGGACCACAGGUGUGCAUCACCAUGCCUGGCUAAUUUGUUACAUUUUUAGUAGAGACGGGGUUUCACCAUGUUGGCCAGGCUGGUCUGGAACUCCUGACCUGAAGCGAUCCUCCCACCUCAGCCUCCCACAGUGCUGGGAUUACAGGCGUGAGCCACCACGUGCAGCCUGAAAGUAUUUUUUUUUAGAGUUUCCUAAAAGUUUCAUCAUCCCUUUUGUUUUCCUAACAAGCUGUGAAACCCAGUGGGUUUUAAUUGUGAAUCAGCACCAAAACACAUGCAGAUUUAAUUUUUAAUUGAAAUGAUGGACAAUAAACAGAAUUAAUAACUCAAAUGCUUGAAGUCUGUCAAGCAUGGUGCUUUGUCUUUGCCAUGGACAUGAAAAAGCAGCAUUCCCCUCCGGACUUGAGGCUGGGGACCUUCUGAGUCAGAGCAGCCCCUCCCUCCCCACCUCCACGGCUGUUUCCACUUUGCCAUCUCCCCAGCGGGCUCUGCCCGUCCACCUGUGAGACACUCUGACUCCACGGCUUGGCUUCUGCUUGCCCCAGGCAGUGGGAUUCGGUGGCCAGGCCCUCAUUUGUUUCCCCCUCCUCCUUUCCCCAGCAGCUCCUGGCCUGGCAUGCAGCAGGUGCUCUGCUGGGCGAGUGGGAGGAGGGAGCAUAGCCACCGCUGCAGGUGGUCUGUUUGGUGCUGGGAGACGUCAUGCGUGUGUUGUCAGGCACUGGAACCCCCUGGGAGGGUGCAGGGCAGGUUUAGGACAGCCACGUGUGCCCAGAUCUAUGAGACCUUUGUGGGCUCGACUGAGUUGGGGGCUGGGCACAGAGCUUGGAGACCUCUUACUGGGAGCUGUGUGAGUGGCAGGGCCAAGGCUGUGGGGGCUGCAGGAGCUGGUGAGGAGGCAUGUGCUCGGCCGUCAUGGGACUGUCCCUGGGACUCCUGCAGCUGGGGUAGGCUCCAGGCAGGGCUCUGAGCUGCCCCCACACACCUCCAUGCAACCCCAGCUCCAUGUGCUGCUGGAAAGUCCCUGAGUACCAGGGGGGCACCUGGGGAGGGGCCUGAGUCCUGCAGACAGACCUGGGAUGGGGGUGUCAUCCACAGGUGAGGAGUGGUCCGUGCCAGGGACAGGCAGAGCCGCCAGCAUGGGCCCUGCUGGGAUCUCCGAUUGGGAAAACCAUCCCGCCACGGGAGGUGGCCAAGGUGCGUCCCCCAGCCUAUGCAUUGGGGUCCUGGUUCCAUCCCCGCCUCUCCUGUGGGCCGCACUCAGUGCCUUUUCCAUGUAACCCGUGCCGUGUGCGGUGCUCAGAGGAGGAGCGAUCGUCAUGGGGAGCUGCAGUGCCUUUUCCAUGUAACCCGCGCCGUGUGCGGGGCUCCGAGGAGGAGAGGACGUCACGGGGAGCUGCGGUGCCUUUUCCAUGUAACCCGCGCCGUGUGCGGGGCUCGGAGGAGGAGCGGUCAUCACGGGGAGCUGCAGCGCGUCUGGUGAUGUGGGGCUCACAGGCUCCUAAUGAGGCUCUCAGUCUUGUUUAUUGCGUUCUUGCUGGAAGAUUUUUUUUCUGAAACGUAGGCACAGAAUGAACUUGAAAUAUUGAGCUCUGCUUGAAAUAAAAAUGUCUUGAUAAUUAGAACCUUUGCCUGAACAGAUUCCUGUGGGGCUGCGCUGUGCAGGCUGGUUACGGGUGGGGCUCUGCUGCCCACCGAGUCAUUGCUCAAAGGCAAACGGGUCAAGCCACCGAG